rnacentral:rRNA from 1 species
GGCUAUACAUGCAAGUCGAGCGAAUGGAUUAAGAGCUUGCUCUUAUGAAGUUAGCGGCGGACGGGUGAGUAACACGUGGGUAACCUGCCCAUAAGACUGGGAUAACUCCGGGAAACCGGGGCUAAUACCGGAUAACAUUUUGAACCGCAUGGUUCGAAAUUGAAAGGCGGCUUCGGCUGUCACUUAUGGAUGGACCCGCGUCGCAUUAGCUAGUUGGUGAGGUAACGGCUCACCAAGGCAACGAUGCGUAGCCGACCUGAGAGGGUGAUCGGCCACACUGGGACUGAGACACGGCCCAGACUCCUACGGGAGGCAGCAGUAGGGAAUCUUCCGCAAUGGACGAAAGUCUGACGGAGCAACGCCGCGUGAGUGAUGAAGGCUUUCGGGUCGUAAAACUCUGUUGUUAGGGAAGAACAAGUGCUAGUUGAAUAAGCUGGCACCUUGACGGUAUCGCUAACUCAGAAAGCCACGGUCUAACUACGAGCCAGUCAGCCGCAGUAAUAGCGUCGAGCGUGGCAGAGCGUUAUCAGGAGAUCAUUGGAUGCGUAAAGCGCGCGCAGGUGCUUGCUCAAGCUCUGAUGUAGAAAGCCCACGGCUCAACCGUGGAGGAUUCAUCUGGAAACUGGCAGACUGGAGUGCAGACAGAGGAAAGUGUGAAUUCCAUGUGUAGCGUGUGAAGAUGCGUAGAGAUAUGGCAGGAACACCAGUGGCGAAGGCGGACUUCUCUGAUCUGAAACUGACACUUGAGGCGCGAAAGCGUGAGGGAGCCAAAACAGGAUUAGAUACCCUUGGUUAGUUCCACGCCGAAAACGAUAAGUGGCUAAGUGUUAGAGGGUUUCCGCCCUCUAGUGCUGAAAGUUAACGCCAUUAAAGCAAUUCCGCCUUGGGGAGUACGGCCGCAAGGGCUGGAAACUCAAAGGAAUGUGACGGGGGCCCGCACAACCGCUGCACCAUGUGAUUUAAUUGGAGCCAAUCAGCGCUAUAAACCAUAACCAUGUUCUUGACUCUUCUUCAGACAACCUCUAGAGAUAUGGCCUUCUCCUUCCGGGACCAGAGUACCAGGUGGUCCAGGGUGUUCUUCAGUUCGGUUGGGGAGAUGUUGGGUUAAUUCCCGCAAGGAGCGCAACCCUUGUUUUUAGUUCCCUCCAUUAAGUGGGCCAUUUUAAGGGGACUCCCGGGGCCAAACCGGAGGAAGGGGGGGAGGAGGUCAAUUCUUCAUCCCCCUUAGGCCCUGGGUUCCCCACGGGUUCCAAUGGACGGUACAAAGAGUGCCAAGACCGGGAGGGGGAGUUAUUUUCAUAAACCCGUUUCCAGUUCGGAUGGUGGGUUGCAAUUGCCUUCCAGGAAGCGGGAUUCCCUGGUAUUCGGGGUUCACCAUGCCGCGGGGAAUACGUUCCCGGCCUUGGUCCCCCCCGCCCGUCCCACCAGGGGAGUUGGUACCACCCGAAGUCGUGGGGGUACCUUUUGGAGCCAGCCGCCUAAGU